rnacentral:misc_RNA from 1 species
GUUUUGCUUAAGUUUGAGCACAUGCAUCACUUUGCGUGAGAAAAGGGUGCCGGUUUCACUGGGUGUGGAUGUGAGGGCGGCUCUUAACGAGCGCCGAUUCACUAAUGAUCCUUCCGCAGGUUCACCUACGGAACGCUCAGGACAGACCCAAGGGAUCUGUCCAUUUCCUGUCUAUUAGGACAAGAGCCGACCAUAUCUUAAGCCCGGAGGCCCACCGACAUCUGGCCUGUGAACCUGCGCUGACGCAGGCUGCGGAUUGUCCCUCUGGAGCGUUUGAAACCAUACCCGGUUGAACCCGGAGCUGACAAUGCAGCUGGUACGUCCCAGACUAGGAGUUCCCCGCAUGUUGAAGGUGUCGCCUGGCGCCAGACUAGCGUGGACUAUUCAAGGCUUCAAUAGGCUACGGAAA